rnacentral:rRNA from 1 species
UACGUAGGGGGCUAGCGUUGUCCGGAUUUAUUGGGCGUAAAGAGCUUGUAGGCGGUUUGUCGCGUCUGCUGUGAAAAUCCGGGGCUCAACCCCGGACUUGCAGUGGGUACGGGCAGACUAGGGUGUGGUAGGGGAGACUGGAAUUCCUGGUGUAGCGGUGAAAUGCGCAGAUAUCAGGAGGAACACCGAUGGCGAAGGCAGGUCUCUGGGCUACUACUGACGCUGAGAAGCGAAAGCAUGGGGAGCGAACAGG